rnacentral:rRNA from 1 species
UACGUAGGGUGCAAGCGUUGUCCGGAAUUAUUGGGCGUAAAGGGCUCGUAGGCGGUCCAUCGAGUCGGGUGUGAAAAGCUGGGGCUUAACCCCAGACCUGCUUCCGAUACGGGUGGACUAGAGGUAGGUAGGGGAGAACGGAAUUCCUGGUGUAGCGGUGAAAUGCGCAGAUAUCAGGAGGAACACCGGUGGCGAAGGCGGUUCUCUGGGCCUUACCUGACGCUGAGGCGCGAAAGCGUGGGUAGCAAACAGG